AGCAGCCGCGGUAAUUCCAGCUCCAAUAGCGUAUAUUAAAGUUGUUGCAGUUAAAAAGCUCGUAGUUGAAUUUCGGGAUCAGUAUGUUGGUCGUGCUUCGGUACGUACUGUCAUUACUGGUUUCUACCUUCUGAAGAACCAUGAUGUCAUUAAUUUGGUGUCAUGGGGAAUCAGGACUGUUACUUUGAAAAAAUUAGAGUGUUUAAAGCAGGCUCGCGCUUGAAUACAUUAGCAUGGAAUAAUGAAAUAGGACGUUUGAUUCUAUUUUGUUGGUUUCUAGGAUCGGCGUAAUGAUUAAUAGGGAUAGUUGGGGGCAUCAGUAUUCAAUUGUCAGAGGUGAAAUUCUUGGAUUUAUUGAAGACUAACUACUGCGAAAGCAUUUGCCAAGGAUGUUUUCAUUAAUCAAGAACGAAAGUUAGGGGAUCGAAGACGAUCAGAUACCGUCGUAGUCUUAACCAUAAACUAUGCCGACUAGGGAUCGGAUGAUGUUAUUUUAAUGA
rnacentral:sRNA from 1 species